rnacentral:rRNA from 1 species
GACGAACGCUGGCGGCGCGCUUAACACAUGCAAGUCGAACGGAAAGGCCUGCUUUCCCUUGUGGUUUGCGGGUACUCGAGUGGCGAACGGGUGAGUAACACGUGAGUGAUCUGCCCCCAACUUGGGUAUAAGCCUGGGAAACUGGGUCUAAUUCCCGAUAGGACUGCAGGGUGGUGCCUGUGGUGGAACACGAUUUUCUAGUGGUUGGGGAUGAGCUCGCGGCCUAUCAGCUUGUUGGUGGGGUAAUGGCCUACCAAGGCGGCGACGGGGAGCCGGCCUGAGAGGGUGGACGGCCACAUUGGGACUGCGAUACGGCCCAGACUCCUACGGGGGGCAGCAGUGGGGAAUAUUGCACAAUGGGCGGAAGCCUGAUGCAGCGACGCCGCGGGGGGGAUGACGGGCUUCGGAUUGUAAACUCCUUUCGACCGAGAGGAAGCCACCUGGUUGGAAGGGUGGUGACGGUAGUGGUAGAAGAAGCACCGGCUAACUACGUG